rnacentral:tRNA from 1 species
AAAUCAUGAGGGUUCAAGUCCCUCUAUCCCCAAAAAGACCAUUUGACUC